CGGAUAGGAUCUUCUCCUUCAUGGGAGAUGAUUGAAAGAUGGUUUCGGCUAUCACUUACAGAUGGGCCCGCGGUGCAUUAGCUAGUUGGUGAGGUAACGGCUCACCAAGGCAACGAUGCAUAGCCGACCUGAGAGGGUGAUCGGCCACACUGGGACUGAGACACGGCCCAGACUCCUACGGGAGGCAGCAGUAGGGAAUCUUCCGCAAUGGACGAAAGUCUGACGGAGCAACGCCGCGUGAGUGAUGAAGGCUUUCGGGUCGUAAAACUCUGUUGUUAGGGAAGAACAAGUACGAGAGUAACUGCUCGUACCUUGACGGUACCUAACCAGAAAGCCACGGCUAACUACGUGCCAGCAGCCGCGGUAAUACGUAGGUGGCAAGCGUUAUCCGGAAUUAUUGGGCGUAAAGCGCGCGCAGGCGGUUUCUUAAGUCUGAUGUGAAAGCCCACGGCUCAACCGUGGAGGGUCAUUGGAAACUGGGGAACUUGAGUGCAGAAGAGAAAAGCGGAACUCCACGUGUAGCGGUGAAAAUGCGUAGAGAUGUGGAGGA
rnacentral:rRNA from 2 species